UACAGAGGGGGCAAGCGUUAUUCGGAAUUAUUGGGCGUAAAGGGCGUGUAGGCGGCUUUGCAAGUGACGGGUGAAAGCCCUCGGCUUAACCGAGGGACUGCCUGUCAGACUGUAAGGCUUGAGACCGGGAGAGGUGAGUGGAAUUCCCAGUGUAGCGGUGAAAUGCGUAGAUAUUGGGAGGAACACCAGUGGCGAAGGCAGCUCACUGGACCGGAACUGACGCUGAGGCGCGAAAGCGUGGGGAGCAAACAGG
rnacentral:rRNA from 1 species